rnacentral:rRNA from 1 species
UACAGGGGGUGCAAGCGUUAUUCGGAAUUAUUGGGCGUAAAGAGCGUGUAGGCGGUUUGUUAAGUCUGAUGUGAAAGCCCUGGGCUCAAUCCAGGAAGUGCAUUGGAUACUGACAGACUAGAGUUCAGGAGAGGUAAGCGGAAUUCCCGGUGUAGAGGUGAAAUUCGUAGAUAUCGGGAGGAACAACAGUGGCGAAGGCGGCUUACUGGACUGAUACUGACGCUAAGGCGCGAAAGCGUGGGGAGCAAACAGG